rnacentral:rRNA from 1 species
CGGUAGCCGGACUGAGAGGUUGAACGGCCACAUUGGGACUGAGACACGGCCCAGACUCCUACGGGAGGCAGCAGUGGGGGAUAUUGCACAAUGGAGGAAACUCUGAUGCAGCGACGCCGCGUGAGGGAAGAAGGUCUUCGGAUUGUAAACCUUUGUCCUUGGUGACGAUAAUGACGGUAGCCAAGGAGGAAGCUCCGGCUAACUACGUGCCAGCAGCCGCGGUAAUACGUAGGGAGCGAGCGUUGUCCGGAUUUACUGGGUGUAAAGGGUGCGUAGGCGGCUCUGCAAGUCAGGUGUGAAAACCAUCGGCUUAACUGAUGGACUGCAUUUGAAACUGUGGGGCUUGAGUGGAGUAGAGGCAGACGGAAUUCCCGGUGUAGCGGUGAAAUGCGUAGAGAUCGGGAAGAACACCAGUGGCGAAGGCGGUCUGCUGGGCUCUAACUGACGCUGAGGCACGAAAGCAUGGGUAGCAAACAGGAUUAGAUACCCUGGUAGUCCAUGCCGUAAACGAUGAUUACUAGGUGUGGGGGAGUCUGACCCUCUCCGUGCCGGAGUUAACACAAUAAGUAAUCCACCUGGGAAGUACGACCGCAAGGUUGAAACUCAAAGGAAUUGACGGGGGCCCGCACAAGCAGUGGAAUAAUGGUGGUUUAAUUCGAAGCAACGCGAAGAACCUUACCAGAUCUUGACAUCCAACUAAUCCUGUAGAAAA